AGGCUUAACACAUGCAAGUCGAGGGGCAGCAUGGUCUUAGCUUGCUAAGGCCGAUGGCGACCGGCGCACGGGUGAGUAACACGUAUCCAACCUGCCGUCUACUCUUGGACAGCCUUCUGAAAGGAAGAUUAAUACAAGAUGGCAUCAUGAGUCCGCAUGUUCACAUGAUUAAAGGUAUUCCGGUAGACGAUGGGGAUGCGUUCCAUUAGAUAGUAGGCGGGGUAACGGCCCACCUAGUCUUCGAUGGAUAGGGGUUCUGAGAGGAAGGUCCCCCACAUUGGAACUGAGACACGGUCCAAACUCCUACGGGAGGCAGCAGUGAGGAAUAUUGGUCAAUGGGCGAGAGCCUGAACCAGCCAAGUAGCGUGAAGGAUGACUGCCCUAUGGGUUGUAAACUUCUUUUAUAAAGGAAUAAAGUCUGGUAUGGAUACCCGUUUGCAUGUACUUUAUGAAUAAGGAUCGGCUAACUCCGUGCCAGCAGCCGCGGUAAUACGGAGGAUCCGAGCGUUAUCCGGAUUUAUUGGGUUUAAAGGGAGCGUAGAUGGAUGUUUAAGUCAGUUGUGAAAGUUUGCGGCUCAACCGUAAAAUUGCAGUUGAUACUGGAUAUCUUGAGUGCAGUUGAGGCAGGCGGAAUUCGUGGUGUAGCGGUGAAAUGCUUAGAUAUCACGAAGAACUCCGAUUGCGAAGGCAG
rnacentral:rRNA from 1 species